GAAAAUCAUAAAUUAAUAUGUUAAAUAAGGACACAGAGAGAGAGUAUCACACUCUGCUCAGUAGAACUGUGCAAAUGUUGGACAGAUUGUCUUUCACAGCAUGUUUUGAAAUAAAGCUGGAUCUCUUCCAGGCAUGUAGUGUAGCAGAUUUUAAAGGUGAAUUCCCCAUAUAAAAUGUGUUAGUAUGCUGUACACAGAAGAUAAGUCUUCACUAGCCCAGAUUACUAAAUAGCUU